rnacentral:rRNA from 1 species
UGGAUGAGUGGCGAACGGGUGAGUAACACGUGAGUAACCUGCCCCCUUCUUUGGAUAACGCCCGGAAACGGGUGCUAAUACUGGAUAUUCACUGAUCUUCGCAUGGGGGUUGGUGGAAAGGGUUUUUUCUGGUGGGGGAUGGGCUCGCGGCCUAUCAGCUUGUUGGUGGGGUGAUGGCCUACCAAGGCUUUGACGGGUAGCCGGCCUGAGAGGGUGACCGGUCACAUUGGGACUGAGAUACGGCCCAG